CCACAGCGCGCGCGGCCUCCGCCAGGAGAGCCAGCAGCUCCGGGCGGCCGCCGGCCCCGCACACCCCCCCUCCCUGUCCCGUCCCGUGGCGGCCCUCCCCCCCGCCUAGAUGUCGUUGCUCCACAGGCCGGAUGGAUAAUGAGGGAAAUGACGAGUGUUUUAAUAAAUAAAGUAAUCAAGCAGGGAGUGUGAAGACUCUGCCAGGUCUGUCAUAGGUAAAAAUGCAACAAAGCUUAGAAGAAAGGAACAGGAAACAGAAAACUGGAUAGUUGGAAGAAGAAAAAGACUGGUUCACCAAAUGUGGCGUGCUAGUAGUUUGAGGAAGUAGAUAUAGGAGAUGUGAAAUGUAUAAAUGCUGAUGGCAAAUGGUAAUUGUUUCAGGUGUAAUAGUGCAGUGGUGUAAGAAUUCAGCUGUGAUACAUCUUUUAUAUAUCUAAAAUUGCAUUAAAAGCAUCCUGACCUGGAGAUCUGUUGGGCUUUAGGAAGCAUAAACCAAAUAUACACAAUAGCUAAAGUAUAUGUCUUUUCAAAAAAGUGCAUAAAGAAAACCAAAAAAAACCUUACUGAUUCCUUUUGGCUGGCUUCAAAACUUUUAAGCUUUUUUGUUUAGUAUGAGUAGGACAAAAGCUGUCUCUUACAUGAGAAAGCCUUGCCAUGAAGUCCUCUUCAAUCUCGGAAUCUCAAAGCAUAUUCCAUUGGACUAAUUUCAAUAACAACAAAUUAUGUGGUGUUAAUUCUUUGUCAGAAUUCUAACUUGGGCAUCUAGCUGAGUUUAUUUCCUUUUAAGCAGUUUUGAGGAGUCAUUUAAGCUAAUGCUAAAGAUAAGCUUAGCUGCAGCUGGCUGCUUUCACUUUACUGGGCAAUCACCAAUGUUCAUAUACAACUGUAGAAGGAAGUUAAUCAGAUAAGUACCCUUUUUUAAAAUACACUCCUUUAGGAGUGUCCUUUUAAAAUAUACUACCUUUAGGUUAGAUUCAAUUCAGGUAACUGCCAUCUGAUUUGCUGUGCAGAUUGCAUAAAUGCUCAUGCUGACACAAGGGAGCACAAAAAAGAGAGCAGGAUCAUUUUCAAUUGCAGAAUAGUUGAGGAGCAUGAUUGCAUAAUGUUGGCCUGAAUUUGAAAACACUUAAAACCUGUUUCAGUAGGAAAAAAAUACUUCUUCACCCUUAAAUAAUAAAAAAUGGUAUCUUCUGCCCAAGAUUGAACGGCCUUGUCUCUUCCAAAUUGAUUCACCAAACAAAAGCGCCUGUGUGCUGAAACUCCUCCUUAGGAGUUUUGCUUUUGAACUAGCAAAACCAGAACGUUAUAAUGGGAGUAUUUAAAAGAAAUUAACCACAGUGCAUAUUUGUGAACUGCCACUUCUGACCGAAGCUUCUGUGGAUACUACAUUACUUGAAUCACUAUACAAGCAUGUUACUGCUGCUGUCUUCUAAAUGUGUAUUUUCAUAUGAGCUUUCCUAAUGAAAUUAAUGGAAUGACUUGUACUUGAAGUUAUGUUACUGAAGACUGCUGGAUGCUGUUUUUUUAUCAGAGGGGAGACUAAUUUUUAAUUAGUCCUAUAUAAUGGAAAAAAAAGAACUUGAUUAUUUUCAAAACCUAACAGUAUUACUAGAAACCCAUUAUUUUUAAAGAAAAACAGUUUGCUACUGAGUUGGAAAUUCCCCCAAAUUAGCUUCUGUUGUAGAGUACAGAAAUCACCGAAACCUUUUUUUUUUUCCUGAAGAGUAGUCUGUGAAGUGUACAUAAAUAAUUCGUAUGUUGGUGAUGGGUUUUAAAUAAUAUUCCAGAUUAUUCAAGUACUGUUCACAGUAUAUAUCUAAGUUUGCCUGUCUAUUGUCUGUUGACAUUGAAUGGGAAUUACAGACUGUAUUAGUAGUGUUGUACAGAUAAUCUGUAUUCUCUGGAUAAAUUAUUCUUAAAGGAAUUUUGUGUGUUUGUGUGGAUUUUUUAAUGCUUUUUUUCCCUCACUGUGUCUUUAAGGUCAUCUGUAUCUUAAAUCCAGCAUUCUCUAUCACAUAAUCGUGGUUGUAAAAUAACCUCUUUAAUGUACUUCUGGAAAUGAACUGCAUGUCUUUUUCCCAGGGUGCAAGUUGGUAUGCCUUUAUUUUCUGAUUGUACUGGUUAAGUAUGAUUCUGUACUCCUGCAGACUUCCUGCUAUUAAAUGUUUGUUUGCAAGAGUA